UUUCCUCUAAUCCAUAUACAAACGGCAAUACAGUAAAACGUAUAACUUAAAGAGGUUGCACUGGAAACUUGAGCCCGUGGACUGCUUAUUCAAAUCCUAUACGAUACAACUAUGAGGUGUCAAGCAAUUCGCAUACAUCUUGAAUUUAUACCGGUUGCGGUACUAUACAUCUCACAAAAUCUUUGCAAUACAAGUUAUGCUAAGUCAAAUACACUUUUUACGUGCGAUAUUCUACCAAAAGUUCGAAAUUCUAUCAAAAAUCUUUUUUGACGGAAAUUAGAAAACAAAUUUCAUUAUUUUUAAUAUUUAACAAUAAUUAAUACUCCUGGAGAGUUACCUUCAAACAUUUGAAGAAUUAUUACAGUAACGAAUGAGUUUCGUUUCUGAGCGUACUUCACAUCAACAGUAUUUUAUGGAAUCAUUCGAAUUAAAAUGUGCCCAGAGCUACAGUUUAAUAUAAAUUAGGAAAAUUAUAAAUCCCAAUGCAUAUAUUAGAGUGUGAGUGUGCGUGAACUAUUGACAUUGAAGUGUGCGUUUUUAUACAGGGCUUACUCGUGGUACCAGCAUAUAAGGUCGCACGGUGACGCGGUCGCCAACAACUAUACGUUUCACACAGUCAUCACGGCGAACGACUCCGCUCCGAAACCCCUCAGGGACUUGAGAAAUCGUUGCCUAAACCCGGGCAAGUACAGUCACUACCUAGAGCGGUGGCUGGCGGAGUACAGCAGUCACCAGCUGCACAUCAUCGACGGGUCGCUGCUGAGGUCCGAACCCGCCGCUGUCAUGAACACGCUGCAAAAGUUCCUCAAGAUAUCACCGCAUAUCGACUAUAAUAAGUUGCUCAAGUACGAUCCGAAAAAAGGAUUUUUUUGCCAAGCAGUAGGUAACGACAGGACUAAGUGUCUCGGUAAAUCCAAGGGUCGGAUUUACCCUCCGAUGGAGGAGCGAUCUUCCAAGUUUCUAAAGCGAUACUACACGCCACACAACACGGCGCUGUCCAAGCUCCUGGUCAGGAUAGGCCGCACCGUUCCGCAGUGGCUCAAAGACGACCUGUCUUCAAACGGAUAGCAUAACUUUCAACCUAAAAGGUUGGAACGAAGCAAGAAAGUGUUGCACGGCUUGAUCAAAGUCUGUGUGAUCAGCAUCCCUUGACGAGGCCAAGGGUCGGCGCCAGCGCCAGCGGCCGUCCAUAAGUUACAAACUCUGGGCGAAGCUCGCCACUCGCGGCUCGCGCUCUACCCAAUGUUGUUCUUUCCAAGUGUUUCAAUGUGAGAGUAUUCUUGUUGAGCAAAUAUCUUUGUCUAUCGAUUCUUGUAAUAUAAUGUUUUAAAGAGUGAUAUUAAACGACUUAAAGUUCUUGAUCUGUUUAAACGAGAUGAAGAAUGAUAUUGUUUUAGUUGAUUUGACUCUGUAGGGUGUAGUGAUUGACUCUGUGUUCCCUGUGAGACGGUUACGGUUCGACUUUGCUUGCCUGAACAUGUUGUUUCUUAGCCAUAUUUAUAUGGACAGUGUCCGGUGCACUCGUGUGCGCCCGUCUAGGUGCUAUUUGUUAGUAGUUUCAUUCGAUUUGUGUACGUUCGGUUAUUAUGUAAUCUCGUUUGCUUAGAUGCCAAUGUAUUGUUAAUCCAUCAUGGUUUUGUACUAAAUUGAUAAUGCUUUGUAUUUAGAUGUAAGGUGAGGUGGGGUGGAGUGCCCAGAGUGGAAUGAGUCACUGACCACCCGAAAUAACUUAAUAUGGUUUAUAAUGUUUUAUCAUAAUCGCUGGGGUACGAUAAGGUUAGAGAAAUAGUUAUUUACAAUGCGUAAAACUGUAUGUAUAUUAAACAAAAUCUAAUUUUGUUACUUCUGCAACGGGGAUUUAUAUUACCUGUGUGUAAAAAAUAAACAUCUGUGUUUAACUUUUAAUACAGGAAUAAAAAUGGUUAUGUUAAUUAUUAUAGUGAUAAUGUAUAUGUAACAACAGCUAAUGACCCCUACUUCACCUAUUUAUGUAUACAGACGUGUUAACAGUUUAUAUUUCAUUCCACGCUCUAACCGACCAUCGCUACACGCUUAUUUUAACAUUUUGUUUAAUUACAAUGUACGUACCUGAUGCAAUUUGUAAAUUUGUAGUUAAUUUUGUACGUUUCAUAUAUGUAGUGUAGGUCUAACGUUAUUUUAACAAUCUCCUUGUCUAUCUGUGCCAUAACUAUAUUGUGAUGCAACUGGCACUCGAUAAUACUUUCGUUUUAAUUAAUAUUUUUUUUUAUGUACACUAAUAUUUUGACAAUAGAAAAUCAACUAGUCCUUUAUUUAAAGCGGCAUACAUUGAGAACAGACACAUGUUAUUUGUUCUCCUUGCACAAACUGUCAAGCAGUGUGUAUCGGACUCCUAAAGAAAGGCAUAACUGAGGUAUAUUGCUUUUACCUGGAAAAUAUUCGUUGCAACAUUCAAAGAAAAUAUAGUGAAAAUAAUUGUAUUGCAUUGUAAAUAUUUUUCUGUCUCGAAUAAAAAUAAAUGGAGCCGAGUUGUGCCUUUGAUAUUACGAGUACGCUACGCUAUGCAAUACGUACACCACAUCCAUUUUUUUUUCAGUUACCGAAUUAGCUGUAAGAAUUUUUAAUAUACAUAUUGAAGAUGUCGCAUUAUAUUUUAAAUAAAUGAUAUCAAUGACGACCCAAUGAAUGAUACAUAAAUGUAUUUCGUAUAUAUUUUGAUAUGCAUAAAUUUAUUGGCGAGACGACUCGGCAAGGAUGAUGAAUGUUUUUUGUAAAACUAAUUCAUUAUAGAACAUUUCUUACUCUUUGUUGUAAUAGAUGUCGGUACUUAAAUAUUGUAAAAAAUUCUUUUCUCGUGACAAAUACAUAGAAGAGUACAGAAAAAAAUACAUAUUAUGAAAUCGAUAUUUGAAUAUAGCGUUAAAUGUUAAUAUUUUUAUGGUACAUACGUUUAUCUUAUUUUAUUUAAUGUUUUUCGAAAGGCUUCAUAUUAAAAAUUUAUAUUGAAACUUCUGAUGUUCUUGGUAUAUUGUGAAGAUGUGUGUUAUGUAGAAACGGCCUUACGAUGUUAGAAGCGAGCUAUGAAACGUGUUACGGUGUUGUCAUCUGUGAACACGUACUCUGUGGACACGGGUUUACAUCUGUCACUGUAACGUGACAUAGUUCUAUGUACACUGUUCUGUUAUUCGGGCAACCAUCAAGUUUGUUUCACUGUGAAUCAAAUAGAAACACCCGUAUUCAUUAACAUAGCUGUUAUUUUAUGUAGAGAAUCGUUUUUAAAACAGCCUGUGACUGCUAUUAAAAUGUGUUCUUAAUAAAAAAUUAUUACAUCACUUAUUUUAUUAAAUGAUUUAAACCUUAA